UACGUAGGUGGCAAGCGUUGUCCGGAAUUAUUGGGCGUAAAGCGCGCGCAGGCGGUCCCUUAAGUCUGAUGUGAAAGCCCACGGCUCAACCGUGGAGGGUCAUUGGAAACUGGGGGACUUGAGUGCAGAAGAGGAAAGUGGAAUUCCAUGUGUAGCGGUGAAAUGCGUAGAGAUGUGGAGGAACACCAGUGGCGAAGGCGACUUUCUGGUCUGUAACUGACGCUGAGGUGCGAAAGCGUGGGGAGCAAACAGG
rnacentral:rRNA from 1 species